GACGAACGCUGGCGGCGUGCUUAACACAUGCAAGUCGAACGGUGAAGCUCCAGCUUGCUGGAGUGGAUCAGUGGCGAACGGGUGAGUAACACGUGAGCAACCUGCCCCUGACUCUGGAAUAAGCGCUGGAAACGGCGUCUAAUACUGGAUACGAGAAGGGCCGCAUUGGCACUUUCUGGAAAGUUUUUCGGUUGGGGAUGGGCUCGCGGCCUAUCAGCUUGUUGGUGAGGUAAUGGCUCACCAAGGCGACGACGGGUAGCCGGCCUGAGAGGGCGACCGGCCACACUGGGACUGAGACACGGCCCAGACUCCUACGGGAGGCAGCAGUGGGGAAUAUUGCACAAUGGGCGAAAGCCUGAUGCAGCGACGCCGCGUGAGGGAUGACGGCCUUCGGGUUGUAAACCUCUUUCAGCAGGGAAGAAGCGAAAGUGACGGUACCUGCAGAAGAAGCACCGGCUAACUACGUG
rnacentral:rRNA from 1 species